GUCUCCCUGUAGCUCAGUGGUUAGAGCAUCUGGCCAGUGUGCGGAAGGAAGGCCAUGGGUUUGACUUCCGUCGGGGACU